UAAAAUCCAGCUGGCAAGACAGAGGUGGGCCAGCAUGAGAGUCUGCUGUGUGCCAGGUACUGGGCGGAGGAUAGUGACUCAGCCAAAAGGUGGCUUUGUCAUCCUGCAUCGUCUCCAUCAGCCUCUGUAAAGCUACCUGACUUGCCUCCAAGGUGUGCCUGCUAUAUAAACACUCCUUCAAGACAAGUUCCUGAAUUUUCCCCUUUAACCUCAUCCUCUCCUGAAGAGAAAUUCUGGACCCACCACUGGCUACAUCUCUGUCACCCUUAAGUUACCCCAAUCAGCUGAGGGGACAUAAGCCCUCAGGAGAAGAACAUGCCCCAGUGUCUCUGAGCCCCUGGGGCCUUUGGGGGCUCUGCUAUUCAGUCCCACCCAAACCUAGUCCCUCUGCCUUGGCUGUGAGUGAGUUCAGCAGUGGCUGGGAAGCCAGUGGAUUGUGUUCCAAGUGCCAGAUGAGUGGGAGAGAGGUCUCAUGCCAGCCAGCCGGUAGUGCAUGAAGCGAAGUGGGGCGCAGGGCCUGUGGUCACGAGAGGGCCAUGCGCUCACGGAGCCUGGGUUCUGGAUCUCAUGGCUGGGAGCGUCAAGUGACCUGUUUUGAGCCAAUGGCAACUCUUCAACCAAGCAGCUGCUUCUUCGAGUGAUUGAGGAGAACUUGCCUUCAAUUCCCCCGUCUCUGUCUGUUCUAAGACGUUUCCUCGGAGCAUGUAUUUGGUUUUACGUUCCUGAGAUGUUCCUCUUGAGAAAACACGGUUUCCUGUUUCUCUCAUUAUACGUCUUAAAAUGGUAAUCGUCCAUCAGGAGAAUCCAAAGAGAGAGUCCUUCUUCAGCGAGUGCCCUGCUGGCUGCUGGUGUUGGCCCUGAGUGUCUGGGUACAGUCCUUCUGCCUUGACCUCCAGAUGAGCCUGGAAAGUCCUGCUGGCUUUCCAUGUGGGCACCACAGACGUGUGAUCUGCAGUGGCUUCUUGAAGCCUGACUCCCAGAUGCAAAUCAUCAUCUUCAUCCAACACUCGGUGGUUAGUUUCAACUCUAGUGCAAGAGCUGGCUGUGCUGAGAUGGGCUGUCCGUCUCCAACAUGCUUCACAAUUAUGGCCUUGCUCAGGCUAACAGGGGUCAUGAAGAUUUGAGAGAGAAAAAAGUCAUCAAGCUGUGGCAUCAAGUACGAAAAUGAUUGUUAAGGAGACAAGUCAAAUAUGUAGAAGAUUUGAGUGAAGACGGAAAGGGCAUUUGGCUUGUGCCUGGAGGACCUGAACUAUGAUACACAGUUGUAUAUUUCAGUUGUGGGUCCUUCCAGUUGUGGCAUGUGGGACGCCGCCUCAGCAUGGCCUGAUGAGCGGCGCUAUGUCUGCGCCCAGGAUCCAAACCUGCGAAACCCUGGGCUGCUGAAGCAGAUCGCGUGAACUCAACCACUCAGCCCUGGCCCCGGCCCCUCUACGCUAUUUAAAUGUCUAUGUUUGACUGCCGAACUAUACGGGAAGCUUUUCGUGACUGGGAAGAAAUCUGUUGGCUGCUUCCUGUAUAAGCAUCUUCCCCACCCUCCUCUCUCUGCCCCCCACCCAGAGUCCAGCGCACGGCAGGAGCAUUAGUCUGCUACAACCUACUAUAUCAUAGCUGGAAAGUUAAAUUACCAGAAGCGGUCAUUUAAUGUCAAAUAAUAUGGAAUUCUGUGUUAGAGUUCUCCAGAGAAACAGAGCUGGUAUGGAUACAUAAGAGGAGAUUAUUAUGAGAAUUGGCUCAUGUGAUUAUGGAGGCUGAGAUAUGCCAUCUGCGAGCUGGAGAACCAGGAAAUCUGGUGGUAUAAUUCAGUCUAAG
rnacentral:lncRNA from 1 species